UGGCGGACGGGUGAGUAAUGUCUGGGAAACUGCCUGAUGGAGGGGGAGUAACUACUGGAAACGGUAGCUAAUACCGCAUAACGUCGCAAGACCAAAGAGGGGGGACCUUCGGGCCUCUUGCCAUCGGAUGUGCCCAGAUGGGAUUAGCUAGUAGGUGGGGUAACGGCUCACCUAGGCGACGAUCCCUAGCUGGUCUGAGAGGAUGACCACGCCACACUGGAACUGAGACACGGUCCAGACUCCUACGGGAGGCAGCAUG
rnacentral:rRNA from 1 species